rnacentral:hammerhead_ribozyme from 1 species
AUCCAGUUGAAGAGUUCCAAAUAGGACAAAACACGCGUCCUAGAU